UCGCUGUGUGUUAUAUGUGUCACACGGGACUGCCGGUCUUAAGCCGGAGGAAGUGGGGAUGAUGUCAAGUCAGCAUGGCCUUUAUAUCCUGGGCUACACACACGCUACAAUGGCCAACACAAUAGGUUGCUAAGCCGCGAGGUGGCGCCAAUCCAUAAAGUUGGUCUCAGUUCAGAUUGUAGGCUGCAACCCGCCUGCAUGAAGAUGGAGUUGCUAGUAACCGCAGGUCAGCUAUACUGCGGUGAAUACGUUCCCGGGGCUU
rnacentral:rRNA from 1 species